GAUGAAGAACGUAGCGAAAUGCGAUAAGUAAUGUGAAUUGCAGAAUUCAGUGAAUCUUCGAAUCUUUGAACGCACCUUGCACCCUUUGGCAUUCCGAAGGGUAUGCUCGUUUGAGUGUCAUUGUACUCUCACACUCUCCGAUCCUAUGGAUUCGGGGAGCGGUGGACUUGGGUGUUGCUGCCUUUCCUUGUGGCUCACCUCAAAUGUGUCAGUGCACCUCUUGGUUGGACAUAGUACGGCGUGAUAAGUGUCUUCGCCGGCACCUCGCAAGAGGGUGGCCGAUCGGGAGCUCUGUGCUUUCAAACCGUCUUCGGACAAUUUCUGACAACUUGACCUCAAAUCGAGUAGGACUACCCGCUGAACUUAAGCAUAUCAAUAAGCGGAGGA
rnacentral:misc_RNA from 1 species